GCCGGGUGUGGUGGCACAUGCCUGUAGUCCCAGCUACUCAGGAAGCUGAGGUGGGAGGAUCACUUGAGUCGGGAGUUCUGGGCUGCCGUGUGCUCUGCCAGUCGGAUGUCCAUACCAAGUUUAGCAUCAAUAUGGUGACCUCCCAGGAGCAGGGGACCAACCAGGUUGCCUAAGGAAGGGUGAACUGACCCAGGCAGGAAACAGAGCAGGUCGGGGCCAGGGAUUUAGCUCAGCGGUUCGGUGGCCUGCCUUGCAAGCGCAAGGACCCAAGUUCAAUCCCUGGUACAAAAAAAAAACAAAACCAA
rfam:Fukomys damarensis contig114041, whole genome shotgun sequence.